rnacentral:rRNA from 1 species
UACGUAGGGGGCAAGCGUUGUCCGGAUUUAUUGGGCGUAAAGAGCUCGUAGGUGGUUCGGUAAGUCGGGUGUUAAACCCCCAGGCUCAACCUGGGGACGCCACUCGAUACUGCUGUGACUAGAGUCCGGUAGGGGAGCGUGGAAUUCCUGGUGUAGCGGUGAAAUGCGCAGAUAUCAGGAGGAACACCAGCGGCGAAGGCGGCGCUCUGGGCCGGUACUGACACUGAGGCACGAAAGCGUGGGGAGCAAACAGG